AUUGAACGCUGGCGGCAGGCCUAACACAUGCAAGUCGAGCGGACGAAGGGAGCUUGCUCCUGGAUUCAGCGGCCGACGGGCGAGUAAUGCCUAGGAAUCUGCCUGGUAGUGGGGGAUAACGUCCGGUCACGGGAGCUAAUACCGCAUACGUCCUGAGGGUGAAAGUGGGGGAUCUUUGGACCUCACCCUUUCAGAUGAGCCUAGGUCGGAUUAGCUAGUUGGUGGGGUAAAGGCUUACCAAGGCGACGAUCCGUAACUGGUCUGAGAGGGUGAUCAGUCACACUGGAACUGAGACACGGUCCAGACUCCUACGGGAGGCAGCAGUGGGGAAUAUUGGACAAUGGGCGAAAGCCUGAUCCAGCCAUGCCGCGUGAGUGAAGAAGGUCUUCGGAUUGUAAAGCACUUUAAGUUGGGAGGAAGAGAAGUAAGUUAAUACCUUGCUGUUUUGACGUUACCAACAGAGAAAGCACCGGCUAACUUCGUG
rnacentral:rRNA from 1 species